GUUAUUGUUAUUGUCCUCUGAUGUGUUCUAUUGUUUUCUUUUUUAGUAUACUGGUGGUAAAUUAAAAAAUAAUUGUUACUGUUGUUCUUGUUAUAUAUUCUCAUCCAUCAAUUUUUUUCAAAUGAAUUUUCAUUAUUGUAGGCUGAGGUGUACGAAGGAGAGAGAGAGGAUAACUUGCAAUGUUAUUCCCUGUGAAUAAGGUACCUCGGGAUCUGUGAAAUUCUUUGGUUGUCCUAGUGUGGCGCUGUCCUAGGUUUGGCUGACCACAUCGAAGUUCGCAGUGAUGCUGUUGUUGUUGUCCCCCACCUCCUAAUUACAAAAAAUGGUCAUUUGGUCAUUUUUACACAGCAGCUAGUUUUGUCAAGGUGAACGGAAAUAAAGACAAAAAAGGGCAAAUAAAUUUUAUUCCAGGCAAACACUCUGAAUUUUGAGAAGUAUGUAUGCAGUUUUAUAAAACUUCAUUUGCAACAGUAGUGUGAAGUCGACCAUAUGUUGGGCGAUUAUUUUCCGAGAAGAAUAGAAGUAAAAUGCUAUGCUUUUCAUUGAAUUCUAAAACAAUAGACACUGUUUCGUUCAAGUGUAGAAAUUUUUACACCAAAUGAAGCAAAAGAAACUGCUCGAAUAAAAGUUCGGAUAUUUUUCUUGAAAUUAUUAACAUCUUCAUAAUUUGUAUCAAGGAUUAAAGUCCAUUAAAACAAGACUGCACAGAGAGAACUAUGACUAUGUGAUUCUCUCUAUCCAGGAAGAGUUAAUGUCAUGCCAUAAAACAGUUCUGCUGGCUUAAAACGUAGGUUUGCUUUAAUUGACGUACUGAUUCUUAGAAAUAAAAUAGACAGACAUUCUAUCUGUCUGUGUUAUCAUAUGCUUUAAAUGAUGUUUUAAGUUUGCAGUGAAAAGUGCUAUCAUGCCGUAAUACGAAUCUACUUAAUAUCCAACAAAUGGGUUAAUUCAGUAAAUAAACUAGAUUCAAAUUGUUAGCCUCUGUCGAUUGUUACUAUCGUUGGAGUUCCAAAAUGCGAAAUCCAUUUGUAAAGCAACGCUUUUGCUACCACUGCAGAUAAAAAAAAUCUCGACAACAAUUAGUCAACCUUCUAGAACCUUCGGCAGAACUAUUUAACGGGAAAAUUUUAAAAUCGAACCAUGAGCCUUUUAUGAUGACACAAUUAAUUUUUUGUAACUGACUUUUGCCUUUUAUGGUAAUAUAGUUAGACCGUGGGAGUCUAGCGAGAUGGCUGGAAUUAAAGAAAGCUUCACUGUGUGUGUGUUUGAGAGAGAGAGUGAGAGAGAGAGAGAGAGAGAGAGAGAGAGAGAGAGAGAGAGAGAGAGAGAGAGAGAGAGAGAGAGAGAGAAAGCGUGCGUGCAUAUGUGUGCAGAGUAGCGGUUGUAAUACUUGAUGCUGUAACAUCUCGAAUUGCUGCAAAAUUGUACAAAAAGAAG